GCGCAGCAGUCGAGAAAACUUUACAAUGUGCGAAAGCACGAUAAGGGAACUCUGAGUGCCUCCUAAGGAGGCUGUUCAGGUGUCUAAAAAGCACCUGGAGUAAGGGCUGGGUAAGACCGGUGCCAGCCGCCGCGGUAACACCGGCAGCCCAGGUGGUAGCCACUUUUAUUGGGUCUAAAGCGUCCGUAGCCGGUUGAGUAAGUUCCUUGGGAAAUUUGGCUGCUCAACAGUCAAGCUUCCAGGGAAUACUGCUCGACUUGGGACUGGGAGAGGUCAGAGGUACUCCAGGGGUAGGGGUGAAAUCCAUUAAUCCCUGGGGGACCACCGGUAGCGAAGGCGUCUGACCAGACCAGGUCCGACGGUGAGGGACGAAGGCUAGGGUCGCGAACCGGAUUAGAUACCCGCGUAGU
rnacentral:rRNA from 1 species